AGACCACCUUCCCAAAGCAGCAUGUUGCCCCAUUCUGACCCUGAGAGCACCUGGCAGGUAUGUGGAAAAAAGAAAUGUGCAUUAAAACAGAGACAGGAGGAAUGUACACAGCCUGCAAUACUCUAGCAGUAAGUACUACUACUGGCUGGAAGAUAGGAAGCAGUCAUCGGUGAGCAUGGAAGGAAGAGCCAUUAUGCCCACGUGCAUCAGGAGUAAAUGCUGAGUUCUGGUCGGUCAUGGCGCAACAGUCUCCAAGGGGAACUCCCAAUUACUUCCAAAGGAAAGUUGAACUCCCACUAAUCUGUAGUGGAGCAGUUUUUAUACCUUCUUAAAACCCAGAAGAAUGAGUAUCAGAGUACUCUAUGUGAUCCUCAGAAAUAAAAACCACAAGUCUAGGGCUGCUAAAGUACCCUACCAAAA
rnacentral:lncRNA from 1 species